UACAAGGCAAUAAAUGACUCUUUUCUGGAUCCUUAGAGUUUACCCAGCACAUUUAUGGGGCUAUUUGUUGCCCUGAGUACUUAUGUAUUUCCUGUCAAUUAUUUUGGUUUGCCGGUUACCUUCUGUUUAUAAUGCAUCCAAGACAUUUCCUGUGUGAUUUCUUUGAGUUAAAGUUGGUAUACCUGGACAGGAGGAACUACACUGUAACUCUUGAUUUUUUCUUCUAAUCCUUAUUGGAUUAGCUCUUGUGCCUUAAAACAUUUCUUGGUGGAUAAGCAAGUGCUUCCUCCUUAGAGAAUUAAACUCUUCCUCUUGAGGGGACCACUCAAUGUCAGGAGGCAGGACAUAGGAUCGUUCUGUGCAUAAUUCCUGAGAUGAUCCUCUAAAGCCUUAUCCCCACACUUUCUCCUCCAACAAACUUUUAAGCACAAGGAAAGGCAAAUGACCCAGAGAAUGGAAAAGCGAACAAAGAUCUUCCACAGCAUUCAUGAGACCCCUCUUGGAAGCAAAUAACUGAG